GGAUUAGAUACCCGGGUAGUCCACGCCGUAAACGAUGGGCACUAGGUGUGGGGGGUGUCGACUCCCCCGUGCCGGCGCUAACGCAUUAAGUGCCCCGCCUGGGGAGUACGGCCGCAAGGCUAAAGCUCAAAGGAAUUGACGGGGGCCCGCACAAGCAGCGGAGCAUGUGGUUUAAUUCGACGCAACGCGAAGAACCUUACCUGGGCUUGACAUGUUCCUGACCGCCCUGGAAACAGGGUCUCCCUUCGGGGCAGGAUCACAGGUGGUGCAUGGCUGUCGUCAGCUCGUGUCGUGAGAUGUUGGGUUAAGUCCCGCAACGAGCG
rnacentral:rRNA from 1 species